UACGUAGGUGACAAGCGUUGUCCGGAUUUACUGGGCGUAAAGAGCGCGCAGGCGGUCGUUCAAGUCGCGUGUGAAAGCCCCCGGCUCAACUGGGGAGGGUCACGCGAUACUGUUCGACUCGAAGGCAGGAGAGGGUAGUGGAAUUCCCGGUGUAGUGGUGAAAUGCGUAGAUAUCGGGAGGAACACCUGUGGCGAAAGCGGCUCACUGGACCACAACUGACGCUGAGGCGCGAAAGCUAGGGUAGCAAACGGG
rnacentral:rRNA from 1 species